GGGUUGUGAGGUUAAGCGACUAAGCGUACACGGUGGAUGCCCUGGCAGUCAGAGGCGAUGAAGGGCGUGCUAAUCUGCGAUAAGCGCCGGUAAGGUGAUAUGAACCGUUAUAACCGGCGAUACCCGAAUGGGGAAACCCAGUGUGAUUCGUCACACUAUCAUUAACUGAAUCCAUAGGUUAAUGAGGCGAACCGGGGGAACUGAAACAUCUAAGUACCCCGAGGAAAAGAAAUCAACCGAGAUUCCCCCAGUAGCGGCGAGCGAACGGGGAGGAGCCCAGAGCCUGAAUCAGCAUGUGUGUUAGUGGAAGCGUCUGGAAAGGCGCGCGAUACAGGGUGACAGCCCCGUACACAAAAGCGCAUGUGCUGUGAGCUCGAUGAGUAGGGCGGGACACGUGGUAUCCUGUCUGAAUAUGGGGGGACCAUCCUCCAAGGCUAAAUACUCCUGACUGACCGAUAGUGAACCAGUACCGUGAGGGAAAGGCGAAAAGAACCCCGGCGAGGGGAGUGAAAAAGAACCUGAAACCGUGUACGUACAAGCAGUGGGAGCACAGGUUUACCUGUGUGACUGCGUACCUUUUGUAUAAUGGGUCAGCGACUUAUAUUCUGUAGCAAGGUUAACCGAAUAGGGGAGCCGGAGGGAAACCGAGUCUUAAUUGGGCGUUAAGUUGCAGGGUAUAGACCCGAAACCCGGUGAUCUAGCCAUGGGCAGGUUGAAGGUUGGGUAACACUAACUGGAGGACCGAACCGACUAAUGUUGAAAAAUUAGCGGAUGACCUGUGGCUGGGGGUGAAAGGCCAAUCAAACCGGGAGAUAGCUGGUUCUCCCCGAAAGCUAUUUAGGUAGCGCCUCGUGAAUUCAUCUCCGGGGGUAGAGCACUGUUUCGGCUAGGGGGCCAUCCCGGCUUACCAACCCGAUGCAAACUGCGAAUACCGGAGAAUGUUAUCACGGGAGACACACGGCGGGUGCUAACGUCCGUCGUGAAGAGGGAAACAACCCAGACCGCCAGCUAAGGUCCCAAAGUCAUGGUUAAGUGGGAAACGAUGUGGGAAGGCCCAGACAGCCAGGAUGUUGGCUUAGAAGCAGCCAUCAUUUAAAGAAAGCGUAAUAGCUCACUGGUCGAGUCGGCCUGCGCGGAAGAUGUAACGGGGCUAAACCAUGCACCGAAGCUGCGGCAGCGACGCUUAUGCGUUGUUGGGUAGGGGAGCGUUCUGUAAGCCUGUGAAGGUGUGUCGUGAGGCAUGCUGGAGGUAUCAGAAGUGCGAAUGCUGACAUAAGUAACGAUAAAGCGGGUGAAAAGCCCGCUCGCCGGAAGACCAAGGGUUCCUGUCCAACGUUAAUCGGGGCAGGGUGAGUCGACCCCUAAGGCGAGGCCGAAAGGCGUAGUCGAUGGGAAACGGGUUAAUAUUCCCGUACUUGGUGUUACUGCGAAGGGGGGACGGAGAAGGCUAUGUUGGCCGGGCGACGGUUGUCCCGGUUUAAGCGUGUAGGUGUGUGUUCCAGGUAAAUCCGGUU
rnacentral:rRNA from 2 species